GUAGAUCUCUAUCUUUAUUUGUGUAUGUCUAUACACAUAUAAAAAAUAAGGACAUAUGUACAAUGGUAAUAAAUAUCAACAUGUUUUUACAAAUGAAAUAAGUUACUUAACAUACUUUAAAAACAAACAUAAUAAACCAAUAACAGAAAAGCAAAAAUGGGACAAACUAAACCUUGGGUGGUAACAGAAUAAUCCAAAUGAUAAAGCAUGAAAACAGCAGAACUUAAAGCCUCGUGUGAGAGAAAAUAUUACAAGCAGACAAAUGCACUGGAAGUGAAGAAAUGUACAUAAAAUACACUACACAUGCAUUUUUUUCCAAGCCUGAGACCUGUUAUCUUUUUAGUUUUUGCAACAUGUUAUAUUAAAUAAAAUUCUAAUUGUUAAAAAAAAGGAGAAAUAUUAAGACAUAACCAAGUACCAGUGUAAAGAGAUAAUGUGUUCUUAGCUUUUGGCUUUUGGGAAUUUAAUACUAUAAUGUUGACAUAUUGUUUUUAAUCACAGAUCUGCUCCUGAUCCACCACUAUUUAUUUGGCUUUCAGGAGCUAAAAAAUUAAAUAAUAGUUUUGGUACAUCAUUCAGUCUUUCAUUAAGUUAGGAGAUAAGAAAUUCAGCAGAUAAAUGACUGACAUGUAAACAGGAAGUUCAUCAAUCUCAUGUCUUCUUUUUCAUUUUGCUCCGGGGGAAAUUUAGCUGUAUAUAAAAUAUGAAAGUUCGCAGAUAUCAGCUCAAUUCAGCAAACUGGACGGACUGCUGAUACUUAAAUAUCAAUCUGCAAUUGAAUUAAAUCAAUAUUUCAACAAGAACAAAAGCAAUUGCAGUCUACUUUGGCUUUUCCAAAAGGUGAAGAGGCUUAGAAAAGGUAAACAUGUUGAAAUGCAGCAAUGAAAUCCUGUACAACUCUUGAGCCAUAAAACCAGAAAUAUUUUUUCUUUUCUUUUUUCAAAGAGAGCAUUAGUGUUGCACAAUAUUAGUGUCUGUAAAAGUCCAAAAAUGAUCAAACAAAAUGAUGUACAAGGAUGAUCAUAUCAAAGAUGUACAGUCCACUUGCAGAGAAUCAUGCAACACUAGGAUGGAGUGCUGAUGGUCGACUACCUCUUCAACCUUGGGAUCAUAUUAAUAUUCUACAUCUCUCUCAAGGCUCUGUACACAGAGGGGCAAAAACACAUUUUUUUGUCCGUCCCCUUCUUUCUUGCUGUGCUCCGCUGGUCCCGACAGACAUGUCCCAAAAAUAAAAGCCACCCCCUGAUGGACAGAGCACAAAGGGAGGACAAAAACAUGUAGAGUGAGUAACAGCAAACAGCUAAAAAAGUUAUGCACAAUAUGACUUUGCCACGAUCUGAUCUAUUGUUGGCUAUGCUUCAAAGUUUGCUUGGAAGUGGAACAGAAAGUAUGUCAGAAUAUUUUUUUUGGACAUCAUUACAUCAGCGUGGAACACAUCGUAUUUUGGGCAACGCGAUCUUUUGGAAAAUUCAAUAAUAUGAUAAUAUGAGCUUUGGCUUCGUGCUAAAACUUAUGGGAUAUGAAAACUUCCAACGAUUAAUGAUAUGUAGUUAUGUAGUUAGUUGUCUAUUCUGAGCAGGAGGCUGAAAUGAAAAGACCCUCAAACUUGCAAGUACAGCAGAGGUUUUGAAACAGAGAUUUUAGGCAGGAAGACCUUCCUUGGGGCAGCUUAUUUUGAUGGCUGUCACACUGGAGGAUUUUCUCUUUAAUAAAAUGCUCUUGCCACAAGCUUCAGGCUGUGUGUGGCCCCCUUUCUUAUCUUUUGCCAGGGAGAAAGCUUUUCAGGUGCACCUGCACUUCAAGACUUGCAUAAAAGAGCACACAAGGACAGCUUUGAUGGGAAAAAAACACACAAGCUGGUAAAAUGGGAUGGAUAGACCUUUUUGACAUUGGACAUAUGCAAAUUUUUACAUGAUGAUGGCGCUAGUGGCGUCCAGUAAAGUUAAAGAAAAGUCACUACAUGAGAACCAAAUCUCAUGAUAAAUGAUAAAUAGCUGCUUAUUGGGCUAAACCAGGCCGGGCCUCAGGUCGGUAACUAUUCUUAUACUGUAGUCAUACUAUGACAUUGGUCUUGAAAUAUUUGGCAUGAAAUAGAAACUAAGUACAGUUGUUACUAAUUAAACUAAUUAAAGGAUCUGUUCUAUUCGGGUACGGGUUGUUAAUUAAUGUGGCCAGUAACACCUGUGACGUCUGUUAAAAUGGUCUUUGCUAAUGGACUAUUACUGUUUACAACUUUAGCAGUGGAAGUUCAGUUGUUUGCUUUGAGGCAAUUAUGAAACCCAUAACAGAAGUUGUGCUUUAUUUAUCACAAAGCAGACUGACUGCGCUCAUGCUUACAAGAAUUUCCCAACUUUUUGGUCAGUUUUGUUUAUCUCAAAGGCUAAGUGGCAAACUUUGCACUGGAAAAACAAAGCCAGUGCUAAAGUGCAUUUCCUCUAAGGAUAUAAAAAAAGUUUUUGACCUCUGAGUAUAGACUCUCCCAUGACAACAACUGUAGAGGGUCUAAAGCUAUUCAUAACUCAUCUAUUGGGAUUUUGUUAAGGCCUGUAGCUAGCUGCUGUUUUCUAGGCCUCACUUCUGCUAAUUCGAGUCACCAAACCUCUUAAAUGAGUUUGUGGUGUUGGUGCCACGUAUUGGUCUACUGUGUAGUACAGGAGUCUGUGUGCCUGUGCUUGGAUAUAA
ensembl:lncRNA